rnacentral:misc_RNA from 1 species
GCAAACUUGGUCAUUUAGAGGAAGUAAAAGUCGUAACAAGGUUUCCGUAGGUGAACCUGCGGAAGGAUCAUUACAAAGAAUGUGUGGAAUUUUUAAUAUUCUCGAAAACCCCAACCCGAGCACCGGUACCUGUUGCUUCCAUGGGCAGCGAGCAGCUGGCUUGCGCCUGCUAUCAUGGCAGACCCAUGGGAGGUCACUGAUAAAAUGCACUGCUUUUGUGGCAAUCCGUCUGAGUAUGUAUGUUUGAUCAAAUGUUCAAAACUUUCAACAACGGAUCUCUUGGUUCUCGCAUCGAUGAAGAACGCAGC